rnacentral:sRNA from 1 species
CACUGAAUUAAAAAGCAUAAACUAAGUCAGUGUCCAUUUGGGGAAAUGGGCCUAGAAGCUCCCCCUCUGUCUGAGUGUCAAAUGAUCAAGUGACUGAGGAGCCAAAUCAAGCUUCUCUAUGCAGGAGCCCCCCAGGCAGGCAGAGAGCUGCUGCAGUGCAGCGUGUUGGCCAAGGCAGUUAUGUUUGCUGUGACUCUGUCCUUUCUGCUGUUUUUCUUACAUUCAAAGGAUGUGAAAUAUUGGAGGGAUAAAAAAAAUUCCCACCCCAUUCUUUUUUCCCCUUAGUAAAAACUGUGCUAGUUGUUGGAAGAUUGAGUCUACUCAGUUUCAUUAGCAGCAGCUUUGUAGGGACUGGGAAUGUCCUGUUGUCCCAGCCAGAGGGAGGAGGAGACUUGAGUGUGUGCAGCCCACGGUGAAGGAGUAAACCAGGAGCAGCACUAAUAGCUAAUGGGUAUUAAGUGGUUUUUUCUUUCCUUCUACCAAGCAUUGUUCCAAACUUUAUGAAAGAAUUCUUAUUGAUGUCUCCAUUUUCAGGUAAAGAGACAAAGAUAUCCUUGCCUAAAGUCAAGAGCUAGUGAAUGGGAGAAUGGGUCUGGUCUCCUAACCACUAACUCUACCAUGCUACUCUACCUCUUGAGUGCUAAGGUGCAAAACCUUCCCUGGGCCAGAGAAAUGGUCACCGUACAAAGCCUGGCACAGAGCAUGUGCUCAGAUAGUACCUGUUAUCAGGUGAAUGGAUAAAGAUCAGAAGAGAAGGGAAAGACAUGCCUUUCAAACAAAUUAAAAGAGUAGUGGAAAACAUCAAAGUGAAACCAAUAAUGCCUCCUCAGGAAGCUGACCGUCGGGAAGGAUGAAUAGCAAUUCAGUCUACAAAUAUUUCCUGAACACUUCUGGCUGGAAACCUUGGACCAAUUAAUGACUAUGCUGUAGACAGUACAUACAGACAGUGCUGGUUGCAGUCUGGGCAAGUGAGGCUCCUGCCUGGCCAGGACAGGAAGGCUGACCCAGAGGCUCAACUCUCUCUCAAAGGCUCUGUGACCUUAGGUUGCUUAACCUCUUAGGACCUCAGGCUCCUCACUGUCCACUGAGCACCCCUUUUGCCAUGGCAUCGUAUAGUUCUCCCUUUGAAGUUCUUAAGCAAUUCUGCCCUGAUAUAUCGUCUCAGGGAGCCAUUUAGUUCUGUCCAAAGUAGUGCCUGCAGAGGCACUGUGGGUUCCUCUGGCCUAUCUCUCCCUUUGUAGUCAUGAGGGUCCUGUGUGGCAAGUGGCCUGGGCUCACCCCAUGUACGGCAACAUCCUGGCAUCGUGCUCCUAUGACCGGAAAGUCAUUAUCUGGAGAGAGGAAAACGGCACCUGGGAGAAGAGCCACGAGCAUGCAGGACACGACUCCUCAGUGAACUCGGUGUGCUGGGCCCCCCAUGACUACGGCCUGAUCCUGGCCUGUGGGAGCUCGGAUGGGGCCAUCUCCCUGCUGACUUACACCGGGGAAGGCCAAUGGGAAGUAAAGAAGAUCAACAACGCUCACACCAUUGGCUGCAAUGCCGUCAGCUGGGCCCCUGCUGUUGUACCUGGAAGCCUCAUAGACCAGCCAUCGGGGCAGAAACCCAAUUACAUCAAGAGGUUUGCAUCAGGUGGCUGUGACAACCUCAUCAAGCUGUGGAAGGAGGAGGAGGACGGCCAGUGGAAGGAGGAGCAGAAGCUAGAAGCGCACAGUGACUGGGUUCGAGAUGUGGCCUGGGCCCCCUCCAUCGGCCUGCCCACCAGCACCAUCGCCAGCUGCUCCCAGGAUGGUCGUGUGUUCAUUUGGACCUGUGAUGAUGCCUCAAGCAAUACGUGGUCCCCUAAAUUGUUGCACAAGUUCAACGAUGUGGUGUGGCAUGUGAGCUGGUCCAUCACAGCCAACAUCCUGGCUGUCUCUGGUGGAGACAAUAAGGUGACCCUGUGGAAGGAGUCAGUUGAUGGGCAGUGGGUGUGCAUCAGUGAUGUCAACAAGGGCCAGGGCUCCGUAUCAGCGUCAGUGACAGAGGGCCAGCAGAAUGAGCAGUGACAAGACAGGUGGGGCCUGGCUCCCCACCCGCCAGCUCCAGGACUGCCCCUUCCUGGGCCAACUAACCAAACAACUGGGAAGAGCCCCCAACUCCAACAGGAUUAUUUUCCCAGGAGGAGUUACAGAUGCAGCCACAGAUUGAUCAUCUGCCUUAACAUGAUCGGAGAUGCUUUGUAAUCUACUGUCCAGCUGAAAGCACUCAUGUUACGAGGAAGAAACUACAAGUGAUGUUCAAAUCUAUUUUAAACUAUUUUGGGUCAUUUUUAUGUACCUUUGGGUUCAGGCAUUAUUUGGGGGGUUUUGUUUCCAAAGUAACUAAAUAAAGUCAUAUUGCUUAU